GAUGAACGCUGGCGGCGUGCCUAAUACAUGCAAGUCGAGCGAACAGAUGAGAAGCUUGCUUCUCUGAUGUUAGCGGCGGACGGGUGAGUAACACGUGGGUAACCUACCUAUAAGACUGGGAUAACUCCGGGAAACCGGGGCUAAUACCGGAUAAUAUUUUGAACCGCAUGGUUCAAUAGUGAAAGACGGUUUCGGCUGUCACUUAUAGAUGGACCCGCGCCGUAUUAGCUAGUUGGUAAGGUAACGGCUUACCAAGGCGACGAUACGUAGCCGACCUGAGAGGGUGAUCGGCCACACUGGAACUGAGACACGGUCCAGACUCCUACGGGAGGCAGCAGUAGGGAAUCUUCCGCAAUGGGCGAAAGCCUGACGGAGCAACGCCGCGUGAGUGGUGAAGGUCUUCGGAUCGUAAAACUCUGUUGUUAGGGAAGAACAAAUUUGUUAGUAACUGAACAAGUCUUGACGGUACCUAACCAGAAAGCCACGGCUAACUACGUGCCAGCAGCCGCGGUAAUACGUAGGUGGCAAGCGUUAUCCGGAAUUAUUGGGCGUAAAGCGCGCGUAGGCGGUUUCUUAAGUCUGAUGUGAAAGCCCACGGCUCAACCGUGGAGGGUCAUUGGAAACUGGGAAACUUGAGUGCAGAAGAGGAGAGUGGAAUUCCAUGUGUAGCGGUGAAAUGCGCAGAGAUAUGGAGGAACACCAGUGGCGAAGGCGGCUCUCUGGUCUGUAACUGACGCUGAUGUGCGAAAGCGUGGGGAUCAAACAGGAUUAGAUACCCUGGUAGUCCACGCCGUAAACGAUGAGUGCUAAGUGUUAGGGGGUUUCCGCCCCUUAGUGCUGCAGCUAACGCAUUAAGCACUCCGCCUGGGGAGUACGACCGCAAGGUUGAAACUCAAAGGAAUUGACGGGGACCCGCACAAGCGGUGGAGCAUGUGGUUUAAUUCGAAGCAACGCGAAGAACCUUACCAAAUCUUGACAUCCUUUGACCGCUCUAGAGAUAGAGUCUUCCCCUUCGGGGGACAAAGUGACAGGUGGUGCAUGGUUGUCGUCAGCUCGUGUCGUGAGAUGUUGGGUUAAGUCCCGCAACGAGCGCAACCCUUAAGCUUAGUUGCCAUCAUUAAGUUGGGCACUCUAGGUUGACUGCCGGUGACAAACCGGAGGAAGGUGGGGAUGACGUCAAAUCAUCAUGCCCUUAUGAUUUGGGCUACACACGUGCUACAAUGGAUAAUACAAAGGGCAGCGAAUCCGCGAGGCCAAGCAAAUCCCAUAAAAUUAUUCUCAGUUCGGAUUGUAGUCUGCAACUCGACUACAUGAGGCUGGAAUCGCUAGUAAUCGUAGAUCAGCAUGCUACGGUGAAUACGUUCCCGGGUCU
rnacentral:rRNA from 1 species